AGCUCCAAUAGCGUAUAUUAAAGUUGUUGCGGUUAAAAAGCUCGUAGUUGGAUUUCUGUCUGGGGGGACCGGUCCACUUUCUGAGUGAGUACAUGGUCGGCUCUGGGCAUCCUCCUGGGGAUCGUACUACACUUGAUUGUGUGGUGCGGGAUCUAGGACUUUUACUUUGAGGAAAUUAGAGUGUUCACUGCAGGCAUACGCCUUGAAUAUAUUAGCAUGGAAUAAUAAGAUAGGACCUUAGUUCUAUUUUUUCGGUUUCUAGAGCUGAGGUAAUGAUUAACAGGGAUAGUUGGGGGCAUUCGUAUUUAACUGUCAGAGGUGAAAUUCUUGGAUUUGUUAAAGACGAACUACUGCGAAAGCAUUUGCCAAGGAUGUUU
rnacentral:rRNA from 1 species